rnacentral:lncRNA from 1 species
CUGAAAGAGAGGAUGUUUAUCUUGGUCAUUGGGGAUGGGCCAUUACCAUUGUGACGUCGGCGCCCAUGGGUGCUCUCCCUUUUCAAAACGUUUUGAAAGACAAUGCAACCGUCCCAAUGGAAUAUUAUUGAAGCCCUGGUUGAAAAAGCCCCUAAAGAUUUAUGUUAUACAACGUUUGACAUGUUUGAACGAACUUAAAUAUAUAUUUUUUGCUCAUUCCUGACGACAAGUCAGACGCACACGGUACAUUUUCACUAGCCUUCGGAGCGCGCUAACACUAUUGGGACAUAAAUUAUUAACUUUUUUUAACAAAACUACAUUUGUUAUGGACCUGGGAUUCCUAGAAGUGCCUUCUGAUAAAGAUAAUCAAAGAUAGUGUCUGGGACGCACGAACAAAACGCCGCUAUUCGGAUAUAACGAUGGAUUAUUUUGGACCAAACCAACAUUUGUUAUUGAAGUAGCAGUCCUGGGAGUGCAUUCUGACGAAGACAACAAAAGAUCUGUGCCUCGACACAAUCCUGUCUCAGAGCUCUACGGACAAUUCCUUCAACCUCACGGCUUGGUUUUUGCUCUGACAUGCACUGUCAACUGUGGGACCUUAUAUAAACAGGUGUGUGCCUUUCCAAAUCAUGUCCAAUCAAUUGAAUUUACCACAGGUGGACUCCAAUCAAGUUGUAGAAACAGGUCAAGGAUGAUCAAUGGAAACAGGAUGGACCUGAGCUCAAUUACGAGUCUCAAAGCAAAGGCUCUGAAUACUUAUGUAAAUAAGGUAUUUCUUUUAUUAAAUGUUUUAAAAUUUGCACAAAAAUGAUUUGAUCCAUUUUAGAAUAAGGCUGUAACGUAACAAAAUGUGGAAGAAGUCAAGGGGUCUGAAUACUUUCCGAAGGCAUUGUAUAGAGAAAGCAGUGGAGGCUGCUGAGGGGAGGACGGCUCACAAUAAUGCCAGGAACAGAGGAAAUGGAAUGGCAUCAAACACAUAGAGGCCAUGUGUUUGUUAUAUUUAAAACCAUUCGUCUUAUUCUGCUCCAGCCAUUACCACAAGCCUGUCCUCCCCAAUUAAGGUACCACCAACCUUCUGUGAUAGAGGUUAGUGGGAGAUAAAUUACAGUCAUUAUUUUUUUUCUCCUCCCUCUUUGUUGAAUGACAUUGAUAUGAGUUUGUUCUGUCGUGGUUAAGGAAACAAGUGGAUCAUGUUCUUAAAGUAUUUCUAAAGUAUUAUAAUCAGUCUACUGUAUGUAUUAUUAUUACUGUUGUCAAACCAAUGCUAAGGAUCUUACAUGGUUUAAUACCAAAACAAUUGCGUUAGUGCCAGCUGCACAUGUGAUAUUACAUUGAAUGUGGAGAGGUGACACAAAGGUCACAAAGUAACAGUACUUUAGUAACAGGCUUUAGAUUUAAAAAAAUGUUGCAUAGUUUGGAUUACUUGUAAGGGCACCUUGAUUAAGGGGAACAUUGUCUCUAUGGCAGAAUGCCAAAAUGAUUAUGAUUUAUUCAAUGGAUUAUAUAUUCUUUAUUGAAAAACACUGCAUGUUGAUGAUCUAUUCACAAGGGUGAUUUUGUUCAUUUCAAGGGGAAUAAUUUGAAAUUACAAAGAACCAGAAGACCCCCUAGAUAGAUAUAUGUCUGCAGGGUUGUAUUGUGAAGUCAAUAUAAAACCAGGUUUGGGUCAAUUUGGAAUUUCUGGAUUUAAUUCAAUUCAAACAAUGAUUCUUAAUUGAAUUUGAAUUGGCCACACCCCACAACAAGCAUAAUUUGAACUGAAUUUGAAUUGAAGGUAGUAGAAUUUAAUUCAAUCCAAUUCAAACCAAUUCAACUGAGAAGUGAAACUUAACAUUUUCAUUAAUUUGACAAAUCUUUUAUCAAAAGGAUAUGAUCCAUUAAUGCAAAGAAUACAAAUACUAUACCACUCAAAAAUGUCAAACAGUAUUUUUCUUUGUCACGAGAUGGGUUGUUCCACAAAAUAAGUGCCUUUUGCAUCCCUUUGAUAUUUUAAGUAGAAAUUGUGCACCAAUAUUACAUUACCCAAAUCUAACUGCCUGUAGCUCAGGACUUGAAGCAAGGAUAUGCAUAUUCUUAAUACCAUUUGAAAGGAAACACUUUGAAGUUUGUGGAAAUGUGAAAUGAAUGUAGGAGAAUAUUACACAUUUGAUCUGGUAAAAGAUAAUACCAAGAAAAAAAACAUGUUUAUAUAUAUUUUUUCUUUCAUCAUCUUUGAAAUGCAAGAGAAAGGUCACAAUGUAUUAUUCCAGUUCAGAAGCUAUUUAGAUUUUGGCCACUAGAUGGCAGCAGUGUAUGCGCAAUGCUUUAGACUUAUCCAAUGAACCAUUGCAUUUCUGUUCAAAAUGUUGUAUCAAGUCUGCCCAAAUGUGCC